GAUGAACGCUGGCGGCGUGCCUAAUACAUGCAAGUUGAGCGGUAAGGCCCUUCGGGGUACACGAGCGGCGGACGGCUGAGUAACACGUAGGAACCUACCCCAAACUGAGGGAUAAGCACCAGAAAUGGUGUCUAAUACCGCAUGUGCUCUACGGAGUAAAGCUUCGGCGGUUUGGGAAGGGCCUGCGUCCGAUUAGCUAGUUGGUGGUAUAAAAGACUACCAAGGCGACGAUCGGUAGCUGGUCUGAGAGGAUGAUCAGCCAGACUGGGACUGAGACACGGCCCAGACUCCUACGGGAGGCAGCAGUAGGGAAUUUUCCACAAUGGGCGAAAGCCUGAUGGAGCAACGCCGCGUGCAGGAUGAAUGCCUUCGGGUUGUAAACUGCUUUUAUCUGUGACGAAUAUGACGGUAGCAGAUGAAUAAGGACCUGCUAACUACGUGCCAGCAGCCGCGGUAA
rnacentral:rRNA from 1 species